rnacentral:rRNA from 1 species
GAACGCUGGCGGCGUGCCUAAUACAUGCAAGUAGAACGCUGAAGGAGGAGCUUGCUUCUCUGGAUGAGUUGCGAACGGGUGAGUAACGCGUAGGUAACCUGCCUGGUAGCGGGGGAUAACUAUUGGAAACGAUAGCUAAUACCGCAUAAGAGUGGAUGUUGCAUGACAUUUGCUUAAAAGGUGCACUUGCAUCACUACCAGAUGGACCUGCGUUGUAUUAGCUAGUUGGUGGGGUAACGGCUCACCAAGGCGACGAUACAUAGCCGACCUGAGAGGGUGAUCGGCCACACUGGGACUGAGACACGGCCCAGGCUCCUACGGGAGGCAGCAGUAGGGAAUCUUCGGCAAUGGACGGAAGUCUGACCGAGCAACGCCGCGUGAGUGAAGAAGGUUUUCGGAUCGUAAAGCUCUGUUGUAAGAGAAGAACGAGUGUGAGAGUGGAAAGUUCACACUGUGACGGUAUCUUACCAGAAAGGGACGGCUAACUACGUGCCAGCAGCCGCGGUAAUACGUAGGUCCCGAGCGUUGUCCGGAUUUAUUGGGCGUAAAGCGAGCGCAGGCGGUUAGAUAAGUCUGAAGUUAAAGGCUGUGGCUUAACCAUAGUAGGCUUUGGAAACUGUUUAACUUGAGUGCAAGAGGGGAGAGUGGAAUUCCAUGUGUAGCGGUGAAAUGCGUAGAUAUAUGGAGGAACACCGGUGGCGAAAGCGGCUCUCUGGCUUGUAACUGACGCUGAGGCUCGAAAGCGUGGGGAGCAAACAGGAUUAGAUACCCUGGUAGUCCACGCUGUAAACGAUGAGUGCUAGGUGUUAGACCCUUUCCGGGGUUUAGUGCCGUAGCUAACGCAUUAAGCACUCCGCCUGGGGAGUACGACCGCAAGGUG